AAUAUACUUCCUCCGUCCGGAAUUACUUCUCCUACAAAUGGAUAAAAAAGGAUGUAUCUAGAACUAAAAUACAUCUAGAUACAUCCAUCCUUAUGAUAAGUAUUUCCGUACGAAGUGAGUAGGAG
rfam:Hordeum vulgare subsp. vulgare, WGS project CAJW01000000 data, contig: morex_contig_36986